AGCUGAGAUGGUUAGGACAU
rnacentral:miRNA from 1 species